rnacentral:misc_RNA from 1 species
AAGUCGUAACAAGGUAACCGUAGGUGAACCUGCGGUUGGAUCAUUAAUGAACUUUGGUUGAGUGGCUUUGUUGCCCUCGAUCGUCAACACCUUGUGAAUUGUAAAAUUGUAUUUGGCAAGUGAUGCAGCAGCUCGCUGCAGAAUUUUCCCCCGUCUCUCCCUCUUUUCUCUAGGGAAGGGAAGGGAAGGGAAGGGGGGAAAAGCUUGUCCCCAUUAUACUUUGAACUAUAUAAUGCAUUUAAUCCUGAACAAUAAAUUUACAGAAAUACUAAAACAACUUUUGGCAACGGAUCUCUUGGCUCUC